CAAAAACCCAUAUCCACUGCAAUGUCAGGGCUAAAAGAUCGUACACUGGUGGCAUUUAGUUUGCAUAAGUGGAGCCCACUGUUCAAUGAUCCAAACCGUUAAUAUUAUGAUCCUCCUUGUAUAUAGUCAAUGGACAAAAACUCUUUGAAAUGGACAAUUCCUUGAUCUUUCACUAGUUGGGAAAAAAGGGAACGGUUAAGAGAGAAAAUAUGGCAAGGCUUUCCAUUCAACCAAUUAAAUCUGAAAUAAUCGUGGUUCAUAGGACAUUCAUGGUGAGGCCCACCAUACCAAUGUCUGGGAUCAGUUAAACAUGUAUAGUCCUCCACCCAUGCAUUGUAAAAUAUCUUUUUGCCCCCAUUUUCAUAGCUCUAUACUUUAGUUGUGGAAUUCCAUUCAUUGACUUGACUCUGUGCAUCAGUUACUACACUUUUCAUCUUUGCUGCUAGAUCGAGAGACGCCAUUGCAAGAGCUUCAAGAAACAAAAAAGGUAUGUGCUCUAUCCUCACAUUCACUACUGCAUUUGAUUCAGCAAUUUCUUCUUUAUUCAUUUAGUACAACUGUAGCCGUUAUUGUAUUUUGUCUUAAACAUGCCAUAGCAUUAGCCACAAUUGUAUUGAUUUUGAUUACUCUAGACAUGGAUCUAUGGCUUCGAGCAUGAGGUAAAAAAUAAAACAGGUCCAGAUCUGAUGUGGAACACACCAUAGGAAAAAAAUGGUGAAUGAUCAUUAAAAACA